CGGAGCUUCCAAAAAUAUUACCAAACACCUCAAUCCACUCUAAAAUCUUCCAUAGACACAUUCUAGCCACUUAUAAUCAAGAGAAUCCUUGAAGAAGAACUCCAAAGUUAGAGUGAGAAAGUGUGAACUUUGGUAAGAAACUUGGACACGAGCAGAGCAAGGAAGUAAGUAACUCCGCUUUGACGGGAGAUUUUGAGUAAGGUCUUCAGGUGGGCAAUAUUUUGAGUAUAUGUUUAUCAUAUGAGCUUUCUAGAAUGAUUUGAUGAUGUUAUGAGAUUAACAAAUGUUUUGAGAUAAAUGAUGUUUGAGAACUGUUUGACUUGCCAAUUUUUUUGAUGUUGAGCUUGUAUGUUACCCUCUACUGAUGAGAUGAGACGAAUUCGGUCCUGCCACAAGCGGGAUUUUGUGCACAGAGGUGACUGUGAGCCGUCUUCGGGUCGGCCGGUCACGGUACUUGAGAGGGAGACCUACUUCUCAGUACCUUAAAUAUAAUGAUGAGUUGUAGAUGCGGUACAUACAUGUCGAUUACUUUGUCUGCAGACACUUAUUUAUGAUGUUGAUUAUGAAAACUGCAUGCACAGAUUCAUUUAUGCUAACUUAUUUCUGUGUAUUGCUGAGAUGUGGCAAGCUUCAAACUUAUAGCUCUAAGAGCACUUUCCUUGUUUUUCGGCGUUUGCCCACUGAGUAUUAUGUACUCACGCCCUGCAUGUAUUUCUAAAUGUGCAGACUAAGCGAGGAGCGAGAUUGGACUGGUGCUGGUGGGGAAUUGUUAGAGGAUGUAUUUACUUUAUCGCAUUUCCAUUUUGACGAUAAAGUCUUGAUGAUUGAUAUAUAUAUACUUUGAUUUUCUUUUGAAUUUAAGCAAUGUACUCACGGUUAUAUGUCUUCAUACAUAUAAUCGAUUCGCCUUUUGCUGC